rnacentral:rRNA from 1 species
AUUGAACGCUGGCGGCAGGCUUAACACCUGCAAGUCGAGCGAGCGGCAGACGGGUGAGUAAUAUCUGGGAAACUGCCUGAUGGAGGGGGAUCACUACUGGAAACGGUAGCUAAUACCGCAUACCAUCAGAUGUGCCCAUAUGGGAUUGGCUAGUAGGGGGGGUAAUGGCUCACCGAGGCGACGAUCCCUAGCUGGUCUGAGAGGAUGACCAGCCACACUGGAACUGAGACACGGUCCAGACUCCUACGUGAGGCAGCAGUGGGGAAUAUUGCACAAUGGGCGCAAGCCUGAUGCAGCCAUGCCGCGUGUGUGAAGAAGGCCUUAGGGUUGUAAAGCACUUUCAGCGAGGAGGCGUUACUCGCAGAAGAAGCACCGGCUAACUCCGUGCCAGCAGCCGCGGUAAUUC